rnacentral:lncRNA from 1 species
AUUUUGCACUCCUAUCAAUACAAGCAGUCUGACUGGGGACUUUAUUCUUAAUAUCAUUAACGUUUUUCCCCUCAUCCCAUGCCACUUACACAUAUGUUUUGAAACAAAGGAAUGGAGGCACAAUUAUUUUCAUCUUUUCUUGCAUUUUCCUUUUCUGUAGCCUGUUUAAAUAAAUGAGCAUGCAGUCAUCACUAUGAGGCUACUCUGUCGAAGUCGGUACGUGUCUGAUUUUGCUUAUUCUAUAGAAAUGCUUUUAGGGUUUUCCCCUUCCUUUAAAGAUGUUAGACUUACAGUGCUGUGCUUCAAGUGCCGUUUAUUGAAUUUCGUACUAGAACGAGUGAGUGUGUGUUAAUGAACCUGUGCUUGUUGAUUCUCUCUCUCUCUACGUGCUCCUCCCUGCAGCUAGCUGUUCAGUGCAUCUGCCACAGCUGGCAGUGGCUGGAGCACCCAACGCGGUGGGUGUUCCUUCACAUGCCUGGCCAGCUUCUGCUCUGCGAAGACCUGUGGCUGUUCUUGCCUCUUCAGUCAAUCAGUACUCCUCCUCUGUACAAGCCUGAGGGUGCAGCCCAGAGUUUUUUACACUGAGACAUGUUAAAGGUAUGUCUACACUGCUGUUUCUGCUUUAAGGUAAGGUAAACAACAGAGGUAUGGGAACUGCCUACCAAGAAGUAAUAGACAGGGAACUCCUUCUGUUUGUCAGCUAAAGGUAUGAGCCAGUUAGCUGAAAGCUAUCUCUUGAAUGACUAUGCAAACAUAAGAGCAAUUUUACUAAAUGCUAGGAACAAAACAGAGACUCAUCUUGUAAUUAGAAAAUUAAGGAUUCACGUGUGAUCCAGGUACGCAACUAGUGACAAAGCCAAGCAUCCUGAGUCAUUUGAAAUGGUGACCUGUGCUGAUUCCAUCUCCUGUUCUUGCCAUUCAGUCCUUUAUAAAUAAUCUCCUAAUCAGAAUCAACAGUUCUCG